rnacentral:lncRNA from 1 species
AACACUAUAAUAAAUUAAACAUUAUAAGAAAAUUAAAUCAACAAUUAAACCAAACAAUUAAACUAAAUAAUUAAACCAAAGAAAAAUUAAAAAAACAAAAAAACCUAAACCCUACACAAUGGAGAGACACAGCCGCUUAUGGAUUCAUGGCCGCAAAAGGUUACAAUCAACCCAGACGCCGCCGCUCAUGGAUUCGUGGCUGCAAAAGACACCGCCGUUCAUGGAUUCAUGACCAUUGCCUCAAGCUUUUCGACCAAUCUCAGAGGCGAAGUAGAACUUGGACGAAAUCUCCAGAUCUAUCACCACCAGUCUCACCGGACAUUAUCCUUCAAAUCUCAACAAGGAAAAACCACCAUGACAGCACCGCAAAAGGAGCACCACCACCGGAUCUCGUCCUCACACAGCAGCAUUUGUUUCCACCAAAAUAACAAAAGCUUAGUUUUGUGAUUUUUCUUAAAAAAUUAGAUGAAGAAGAAUGAAGUUUGGGGAAAAAGAAGAGAAAAAACUGAAGAGAUGAAAAAAAGAGGCGGCCAUUUAGAAUGAAAGAGGUAAGGAAAAU